UACAGAGGGUGCAAGCGUUGUUCGGAAUUAUUGGGCGUAAAGGGAGUGUAGGCGGCUUUGCAAGUCUUCUGUGAAAUCUACGGGCUUAACCCGUCAAAGUGCAGAAGAUACUGCUUAGCUUGAGUGUCAGAGAGGGUGGCGGAAUUCCCGGUGUAGAGGUGAAAUUCGUAGAGAUCGGGAGGAACACCAGUGGCGAAGGCGGCCACCUGGCUGACAACUGACGCUGAGACUCGAAAGCAUGGGGAGCAAACAG
rnacentral:rRNA from 1 species